rnacentral:lncRNA from 1 species
CAAAAUAAAAAAUAUUAAAAAACAGAAAUAGAAACUAGAAAUUAUUUGGGAAAUAAUGCAAUUGGUCCCAUAAUUUUUGGAUUAAAAAUGAGAGAGAUAUGAUUUUUUGAAAUAAAAUGGAAUUAAAGAAAAUAAAAGGAAAUUCAGAAAAAUGAGAAAAAUCCUGGCACGUUGGAUCAACCUCAUUAAAUGAGGUGGCACAUCUAAGGAUC